UCGGGGCCGGGUCGGAGGGUCGCGUGUGCGCGUGCGGAGAGAGGAGGGGGUCGCGAAGGGAAGGUCUGAGGUGGAGGCGGGCGGGGCAGAGAAGCAACAAGUGCGGAGGCCGAGGGGGCCCCACCCGGGGGAUUUCGUACAACCUAGAAUAGAAACCUCCUCUGGCGUUGGUGCGGCGGCUUGCAGUUUCCAGAGCUCUUUGCCAGUCCUUCGUUGCGUCCGCACACGGCCCUCAGGAGCUGACCGCAGGCCUUACCCUUUGCGUUUUGAGGCCACUGAGGGGAAAACACCUCGUUCCGGCCGACAUCCUACCAGAAUCAGAGACCCCUGACCCUCAGUGUCCUGUCUGGGAGAAAAACACCCGUCCGGACCUUCAUUUGAUAGUCUCAGUUCAGGGACUUUGUAGGACAGUGUUGCUCGACCUUUAUUUUUCUUUCCGUUAUCGCUUUCUUCAGCCUUUUUAGACAUUUUGUUCACUAAUCGCACCUCCCCCCCAUGAAAUUCUGAUAUCAUUGAUAUAUACCGUAUAGUUGCUUCUGUACCGUAUGUGUAUUUGUGUUUUAUACAUAAAAAGACUAAGAUUUCGCCCCUUGGAAUGAUCUCGAGCCCGCUGAGAGGGCUCGUUCCAGGAGCGCGGCUCUUCGUUAGCGAGCGGCCUAGUGGAGCGGCGAGGACUCGGGGCGCCCCCGCAAGUGCUCUCUGGAGGUUAGGAACAAGCCCUCACGUGUGUGUGGACAGCUCGUUCUAGCGUCUGCAGGUGCUGCCGUGAGCAAUGGAAUAGAGUCACAUAUACCUGCUUUUAAUGUGGCUGUAAUUGGCAUGAUAUCCCAUACCAAAAUGCCUUUUUAGAAGAGAUAGAGGCAAACCAGAAAGCAAAAAGCAGUUUCUUCUCUGCAAUCUAGGAGAAAAGACUUUCCCUCAAGGACAGAUCAGGUGCUGUUUUUCAACCCUCAACUUUUGACCAAGAAUAAAACUAUUUAAAAAUUAAGAUGCCAACAGGUAAUUUCUUAUCACGAAGAGCCCUGUGGUGCCAGGCACAGGUCAUUUUGCCUGAAUGGGGGGAUUUGUUAUGUGAUACCUACUAUUCCCAGCCCCUUUUGUAGUUGGGGCAUGAGAUUUUUCACUGCAUUAGAAGGUUGUUCAGACCUGAAGCCUGGGAAGGAACGGCCACCUUCAGAGAGCCAAUGUAGUCCAGUAUGAUAUCAACCUGGUAGAGACAAACAGUACCAGCGCCCACCACAGUCAUGGAGAACACUGAGGAAAUAUCAAAGUGAACCAAAUCAUUGCUUCUUUGUUACAAAGGCAGAAAAUGAAACACCAUAAGGAAAACCACCCCUGAGCUAACAUCCAUGCCCAUCCUCCUC